GGCUGGACUGGCCCGAGGACUCCGAGGACUCGCUCAGCUCAGGGGGCAGCGACUCAGACGAGAGCGUUUACAAGGUGCUGCUGCUGGGGGCGCCCGGCGUGGGCAAGAGCGCCCUGGCGCGCAUCUUCGGCGGUGUGGAGGACGGGCCUGAAGCAGAGGCAGCAGGGCACACCUAUGAUCGCUCCAUUGUAGUGGACGGAGAAGAGGCAUCACUCAUGGUCUACGACAUUUGGGAGCAGUGCUGCCCUGCGAAGUGGCUCUCAGGGGCCAGUGAGGGCUGGGCCCACAGAGAUGCAUGCGCAGGCUCAUAUGCGUCCCAAGCAGCCGCAGCGCAGCCGCCGGGCAGGCCUGCGUGCCGGGAGAGGACUCUGCCUUUUUUCACAGCCCGGGUGUGCCUGCCCUGGAGGGA
rnacentral:lncRNA from 1 species